UACGUAGGGUGCAAGCGUUAAUCGGAAUUACUGGGCGUAAAGCGUGCGCAGGCGGUUGUGCAAGACAGAUGUGAAAUCCCCGGGCUCAACCUGGGAAUUGCAUUUGUGACUGCACGGCUAGAGUGUGUCAGAGGGGGGUAGAAUUCCACGUGUGAGCAGUGAAAUGCGUAGAGAUGUGGAGGAAUACCGAUGGGCGAAGGCAGCCCCCUGGGAUAACACUGACGCCUGCAUGCACGAAAGGCGUGGGAGCAAACGGAUUAGAU
rnacentral:rRNA from 1 species